GACGAACGCUGGCGGCGUGCUUAACACAUGCAAGUCGAACGGAAAGGCCCUGCUUGCAGGGUACUCGAGUGGCGAACGGGUGAGUAACACGUGGGUGAUCUGCCCUGCACUUCGGGAUAAGCCUGGGAAACUGGGUCUAAUACCGGAUAGGAGCCAUUUUUAGUGUGAUGGUAGGAAAGUUUUUUCGGUGUAGGAUGAGCUCGCGGCCUAUCAGCUUGUUGGUGGGGUAAUGGCCUACCAAGGCGGCGACGGGUAGCCGGCCUGAGAGGGUGGACGGCCACAUUGGGACUGAGAUACGGCCCAGACUCCUACGGGAGGCAGCAGUGGGGAAUAUUGCACAAUGGGCGCAAGCCUGAUGCAGCGACGCCGCGUGGGGGAUGACGGCCUUCGGGUUGUAAACUCCUAUCGCUAGGGACGAAGCUUUUUGUGACGGUACCUAGAUAAGAAGCACCGGCUAACUACGUG
rnacentral:rRNA from 1 species